rnacentral:rRNA from 1 species
AUUGAACGCUGGCGGUAGGCUUAACACAUGCAAGUCGUGCGAGAAAGUAUCUUCGGAUAUGAGUAGAGCGGCGGACGGGUGAGUAACGCGUAGGAAUCUACCUAGUAGAAGGGGAUAGCCCGGGGAAACUCGGAUUAAUACCGUAUACCUCCUUCGGGAGAAAGAAGGCCUCUCUUUGAAGCUUUCGCUAUUAGAUGAGCCUGCGUAAGAUUAGCUUGUUGGUGAGGUAAAGGCUCACCAAGGCGACGAUCUUUAGCGGGUCUGAGAGGACGAUCCGCCACAUUGGGACUGAGACACGGCCCAGACCCCUACGGGAGGCAGCAGUGGGGAAUAUUGGACAAUGGGCGCAAGCCUGAUCCAGCCAUACCGCGUGUGUGAAGAAGGCCCUAGGGUUGUAAAGCACUUUAAGUUGGGAAGAAAAGUUAUUGGUUAAUACCCAAUAACCGUGACAUUACCAUCAGAAUAAGGACCGGCUAACUCCGUGCCAGCAGCCGCGGUAAUACGGAAGGUCCAAGCGUUAAUCGGAAUUACUGGGCGUAAAGCGCGCGUAGGUGGUUUAUUAAGUUGGAUGUGAAAUCCCCGGGCUCAACCUGGGAACUGCAUCCAAAACUGAUUCACUAGAGUACGAUAGAGGGAGGUAGAAUUCACAGUGUAGCGGUGGAAUGCGUAGAUAUUGUGAAGAAUACCAAUGGCGAAGGCAGCCUCCUGGAUCUGUACUGACACUGAGGUGCGAAAGCGUGGGUAGCGAACAGGGUUAGAUACCCUGGUAGUCCACGCCGUAAACGAUGUCAACUAGCUGUUGGAAAACUAUGUUUUUCAGUGGCGCAGCUAACGUAGUAAGUUGACCGCCUGGGGAGUACGGCCGCAAGGCUAAAACUCAAAUGAAUUGACGGGGACCCGCACAAGCGGUGGAGCAUGUGGUUUAAUUCGAUGCAACGCGAAAAACCUUACCUAUACUUGACAUACUUGGAAUGCUUUGUAAUGAAGCAGUGCCUUCGGGAGCCAAGAUACAGGUGCUGCAUGGCUGUCGUCAGCUCGUGUCGUGAGAUGUUCCGUUAAGUCGGAUAACGAGCGCAACCCUUACCCUUAUUUGCCAGCGAUUCGGUCGGGAACUAUAAGGGGACUGCCGGUGAUAAACCGGAGGAAGGUGAGGACGACGUCAAGUCAUCAUGGCCCUUACGUAUAGGGCUACACACGUGCUACAAUGGAGAAUACAGACGGACGCUAAGCCGCGAGGUGGUGCUAAUCCUAGAAAAUUCUUCGUAGUCCGGAUUGGAGUCUGCAACUCGACUCCAUGAAGUCGGAAUCGCUAGUAAUCGCGAAUCAGCAUGUCGCGGUGAAUACGUUCUCGGGUCU